GCUUCAGGAGCCAUGUCUCUGCCCCUGCCACAAGAUGGGCUGCCUCUGGCCAUCUGAGUCCUGAGUGAAGACACCAUAGAGCAGAACUACAAGCUGACCUGCCACUGGGCAUGCAGUGUGAAUGACAAAGCUAUUUGAAUCCUAGAACACUGUGGGGAAUGAGGGAUCCCUUUAAAUGCAUUUCCAGCUAUAGAUGCAUAAGAAUCAAGACUAAGCAGCUAAGCAGCCUGGACUGAAGCAUUACCAGUAUCCCCGGGCAGUGAUUUUGUUGUCAUAACAACUGCUUGUGUACCAGCCAUAUGCCCAGGUAAUUUCAGAAGUACUGAUAUAAAGGAAGUAAAAAGGAAGUCUACCAUUUUCCAGCCCUGGGAACAGCAGAAAGGAGAAAAGAG